rnacentral:rRNA from 1 species
UACGAGGGGGGCGAGCGUUGUUCGGAAUUAUUGGGCGUAAAGGGCGCGUAGGCGGUCGGAUAAGUCUUGUGUGAAAUCUUCGGGCUCAACUCGAAGUCUGCACGAGAAACUGUCUGGCUUGAGUGUGGGAGAGGUGAGUGGAAUUCCUGGUGUAGCGGUGAAAUGCGUAGAUAUCUGGAGGAACACCGGUGGCGAAGGCGGCAUCCUGGACCAAUUCUGACGCUGAGGAGCGAAAGCCAGGGGAGCAAACGGG